rnacentral:rRNA from 1 species
AGGAAUAUUGGUCAAUGGGCGAGAGCCUGAACCAGCCAAGUAGCGUGAAGGAUGACUGCCCUAUGGGUUGUAAACUUCUUUUAUAAAGGAAUAAAGUCGGGUAUGCAUACCCGUUUGCAUGUACUUUAUGAAUAAGGAUCGGCUAACUCCGUGCCAGCAGCCGCGGUAAUACGGAGGAUCCGAGCGUUAUCCGGAUUUAUUGGGUUUAAAGGGAGCGUAGAUGGAUGUUUAAGUCAGUUGUGAAAGUUUGCGGCUCAACCGUAAAAUUGCAGUUGAUACUGGAUAUCUUGAGUGCAGUUGAGGCAGGCGGAAUUCGUGGUGUAGCGGUGAAAUGCUUAGAUAUCACGAAGAACUCCGAUUGCGAAGGCAGCCUGCUAAGCUGCAACUGACAUUGAGGCUCGAAAGUGUGGGUAUCAAACAGGAUUAAAUACCCUGGUAGUCCACACGGUAAACGAUGAAUACUCGCUGUUUGCGAUAUACAGCAAGCGGCCAAGCGAAAGCGUUAAGUAUUCCACCUGGGGAGUACGCCGGCAACGGUGAAACUCAAAGGAAUUGACGGGGGCCCGCACAAGCGGAGGAACAUGUGGUUUAAUUCGAUGAUACGCGAGGAACCUUACCCGGGCUUAAAUUGCAGAUGAAUUACGGUGAAAGCCGUAAGCCGCAAGGCAUCUGUGAAGGUGCUGCAUGGUUGUCGUCAGCUCGUGCCGUGAGGUGUCGGCUUAAGUGCCAUAACGAGCGCAACCCUUGUUGUCAGUUACUAACAGGUUUCGCUGAGGACUCUGACAAGACUGCCAUCGUAAGAUGUGAGGAAGGUGGGGAUGACGUCAAAUCAGCACGGCCCUUACGUCCGGGGCUACACACGUGUUACAAUGGGGGGUACAGAGGGCCGCUACCACGCGAGUGGAUGCCAAUCCCCAAAACCUCUCUCAGUUCGGACUGGAGUCUGCAACCCGACUCCACGAAGCUGGAUUCGCUAGUAAUCGCGCAUCAGCCACGGCGCGGUGAAUACGUUCCCG